rnacentral:rRNA from 1 species
UACGUAGGUGGCAAGCGUUGUCCGGAUUUAUUGGGCGUAAAGCGAGCGCAGGCGGUUCCUUUAGUCUGAUGUGAAAGCCCCCGGCUCAACCGGGGAAGGUCAUUGGAAACUGGAAAACUUGAGUGCAGAAGAGGAAAGUGGAAUUCCAUGUGUAGCGGUGAAAUGCGCAGAGAUAUGGAGGAACACCAGUGGCGAAGGCGGCUUUCUGGCUAUUAACUGACGCUGAGGUGCGAAAGCGUGGGUAGCAAACAGG